AGUGAACGCUGGCGGUAGGCCUAACACAUGCAAGUCGAACGGCAGCACAGGAGAGCUUGCUCUCUGGGUGGCGAGUGGCGGACGGGUGAGGAAUACAUCGGAAUCUACUCUGUCGUGGGGGAUAACGUAGGGAAACUUACGCUAAUACCGCAUACGACCUACGGGUGAAAGCAGGGGACCUUCGGGCCUUGCGCGAUUGAAUGAGCCGAUGUCGGAUUAGCUAGUUGGCGGGGUAAAGGCCCACCAAGGCGACGAUCCGUAGCUGGUCUGAGAGGAUGAUCAGCCACACUGGAACUGAGACACUGUCCAGACUCCGACGGGAGGCAGCAGUGGGGAAUAUUGGACAAUGGGCGCAAGCCUGAUCCAGCCAUACCGCGUGGGUGAAGAAGGCCUUCGGGUUGUAAAGCCCUUUUGUUGGGAAAGAAAUCCAGCUGGCUAAUACCCGGUUGGGAUGACGGUACCCAAAGAAUAAGCACCGGCUAACUUCGUGCCAGCAGCCGCGGUAA
rnacentral:rRNA from 1 species